CCCCAUGUUUCCAAGGGCUGCGGCUGGUUGUAGCCGUGGGAUCCCCAACUGCAUUCGAGAGCAACUGGGAGAGGCUCUGAUGGCUGAGAUUAGCAUAACACCUGCAGCUGCCACUCGCCUUUCCUACAAUA